rfam:Glossina austeni unplaced genomic scaffold Scaffold254, whole genome shotgun sequence.
AGGUCCCGCCAUCGGAAGCGUGCUAACAACAACCAGCCCCCGCGAACGGUAGGCCCGCGGGGAAAAUUGGUCGAAGAAGCGUCUGGGGGAUAGCUUUUAGUAUCUAAGCACCAUAGCUGGCGAAUCGUUCAUGCUGCUACUAAGAACCAGCAGUAUCUUUUGAAGAUUUUCUACCUCCAGC